rnacentral:rRNA from 1 species
AACGAGCCGCGGGUACUCUGACUGUGCAAAGGUAGCAUAAUAAUUUGUUUCUUAAUUAGAAACUAGUAUGAACGGUCUGACGAGGAAAUAGCUAUCUAUCAAUUAAUCAAAAAUUGACAUUCAAGUUAAAAGGCUUAAAUAACUCAACAAGACGACAAGACCCUAUAAAACUUCACCCUUUCAAAUAAAUACUCAGAAAACACAAUCAAGGGUUUAACUGGGGAGGUAUUUAUACAACUUAUAACUAUACUAAUCUAACCAUACAUCCAUGAAACAAUAAAUCUUACAUACAACAUAAAAACAAGUUACUUUAGGGAUAACAGCACAAUACUUUUUAAGAGCCCUUAUCGACAAAAGUGAUUGUGACCUCGAUGUUUGGGACUAGGGAAACCAUCAAAAAGC